UACGAGGGGAGCAAGCGUUGUUCGGAUUUACUGGGCGUAAAGGGCUCGUAGGUGGCCAACUAAGUCAGACGUGAAAUCCCUCGGCUUAACCGGGGAACUGCGUCUGAUACUGGAUGGCUUGAGUUUGGGAGAGGGACGCGGAAUUCCAGGUGUAGCGGUGAAAUGCGCAGAUAUCAGGAGGAACACCGGUGGCGAAGGCGGGUCUCUGGGCCGAUACUGACGCUGAGGAGCGAAAGCGUGGGGAGCGAACAGG
rnacentral:rRNA from 1 species